rnacentral:rRNA from 1 species
CGUCUGAUAAGCUUGUAGGUGUGGUAAAAGCGCACCUAGGCAUCGUCAGUAGCUGUUNUGAGAGGAAGAUCAGCCACACUGGGACUGAGACACGGCCCAGACUCNUACGGGAGGCAGCAGUGGGGAAUUUUCCGCAAUGGGCGAAAGCCUGACGGAGCCAGACCGCGUGAGGGAAGAAAGACUUAGGUUUGUAAACCUCUUUUCUCAAGGAAGAAGAAAUGACGGUACUUGAGGAAUCAGCAUCGGCUAACUCCGUGCCAGCAGCCGCGGUAAGACGGAGGAUGCAAGCGUUAUCCGGAAUUAUUGGGCGUAAAGCGUCCGCAGGUGGUUUUUCAAGUCUGCUGUCAAAGGCGGUAGCUCAACUACCGUAAGGCAGUGGAAACUGAGAGACUAGAGAGUGGUAGGGGUAGAGGGAAUUCCCAGUGUAGCGGUGAAAUGCGUAGAGAUUGGGAAGAACACCGGUGGCGAAAGCGCUCUACUGGACCACAACUGACACUCAGAGGACGAAAGCUAGGGUAGCGAAAGGGAUUAGAUACCCCUGUAGUCCUAGCCGUAAACGAUGGAUACUAGG